GAUGAACACUGGCGGCGUGCCUAAUACAUGCAAGUCGAGCGAACGGACGAGAAGCUUGCUUUUCUGAUGUUAGCGGCGGACGGGUGAGUAACACGUGGAUAACCUACCUAUAAGACUGGGAUAACUUCGGGAAACCGGAGCUAAUACCGGAUAAUAUUUUGAACCGCAUGGUUCAAAAGUGAAAGACGGUCUUGCUGUCACUUAUAGAUGGAUCCGCGCUGCAUUAGCUAGUUGGUAAGGUAACGGCUUACCAAGGCAACGAUGCAUAGCCGACCUGAGAGGGUGAGCGGCCACACUGGAACUGAGACACGGUCCAGACUCCUACGGGAGGAAGCAGUAGGGAAUCUUCCGCAAUGGGCGAAAGCCUGACGGAGCAACGCCGCGUGAGUGAUGAAGGUCUUCGGAUCGUAAAACUCUGUUAUUAGGGAAGAACAUAUGUGUAAGUAACUGUGCACAUCUUGACGGUACCUAAUCAGAAAGCCACGGCUAACUACGUG
rnacentral:rRNA from 1 species